rnacentral:rRNA from 1 species
AUUGAACGCUGGCGGAAUGCUUUACACAUGCAAGUCGAGCGGCAGCGCGGGGCAACCUGGCGGCGAGCGGCGAACGGGUGAGUAAUGCAUCGGAACGUACCCAUUUGUGGGGGAUAACUAUCCGAAAGGAUAGCUAAUACCGCAUAAGUCCUGAGGGAGAAAGCAGGGGAUCGCAAGACCUUGCGCGAAUGGAGCGGCCGAUGCCGGAUUAGCUAGUUGGUAGGGUAAAGGCCUACCAAGGCGACGAUCCGUAGCGGGUCUGAGAGGAUGAUCCGCCACACUGGAACUGAGACACGGUCCAGACUCCUACGGGAGGCUG